GUGUUUGCGGGCGUGGCAUCAUCAAGAUUCACAUCCAUGCAUAUAUCACAAGACGCACAUAUACAUCCGAUUUGGCUGAGAAUCUUGAUGAUGCUGCAUCCGCAGACAA
rnacentral:pre_miRNA from 17 species